UACGAAGGGGGCUAGCGUUGUUCGGCAUUACUGGGCGUAACGGGCGCGUAGGCGGUGUGUCAAGUCAGGCGUGAAAGCCCCGGGCUCAACCUGGGAACCGCGCUUGAGACUGGCAUGCUCGAGUUCGGGAGAGGAUGGUGGAAUUCCCAGUGUAGAGGUGAAAUUCGUAGAUAUUGGGAAGAACACCGAUGGCGAAGGCAGCCAUCUGGACCGACACUGACGCUGAGGCGCGAAAGCGUGGGGAGCAAACAGG
rnacentral:rRNA from 1 species